AUGAUACUGAUUGAUAAACAAGUAAAGAAAUCAUACAUCAAGUUUAACAAAUCUCAAAGAUGCAUUAAAUAUCAAAUCUCUUUUUAUGCAUUUAAGUACUACAUGAUAUGCAAGCUGCAAUACUCAUCUUGGGAUUGCUGUUGGGUUAAGUCUCGUUCCAAGUUCGGUGGAGGUCAAAAUGCAGCGGUUGGAGGAGAUGUUGCUUUGGGUGUUGCUGCAAACCUGCCUCCGUCUAGCAUUCCGCCGCACCACCGUACCAAAGACGAUAGUGCGAGGCGCACGGGUUAA